rnacentral:rRNA from 1 species
AUUGAACGCUGGCGGUAUGCUUCACACAUGCAAGUCGAACGGUAGCAGGCCUUCGGUCGCUGACGAGUGGCGGACGGGUGAGUAACGUGUAGGAAUCUGCCUCAUAGUGGGGGACAACGUGUGGAAACGCACGCUAAUACCGCAUUCGCCCUACGGGGGAAAGCGGGGGACCUUCGGGCCUCGCGCUAUGCGUUGAACCUGCGUUAGAUUAGCAAGCUGGUAGGGUAAAGGCCUACCAAGGCGACGAUCUAUACCUGGUCUGGGAGGGCGAUCAGCCAAACUGGGACUGAGACACGGCCCAGACGCCUACGGGAGGCAGCAGUGGGGAAUAUUGGACAAUGGGCGAAAGGCUGAUCCAGCAAUACCGCGUGUGUGAAGAAGGCCCUAGGGUUGUAAAGCACUUUCAAUAGGGAGGAAAACCUGUCGGUCAAUACCCGGCAGCUUGACAUUACCUAUACAAGAAGCACCGGCUAACUCCGUGCCAGCCGCCGCCGUAACAC